UGGGGAAUAUUGGACAAUGGGCGAAAGCCUGAUCCAGCCAUGCCGCGUGUGUGAAGAAGGUCUUCGGAUUGUAAAGCACUUUAAGUUGGGAGGAAGGGCAUUAACCUAAUACGUUAGUGUUUUGACGUUACCGACAGAAUAAGCACCGGCUAACUCCGUGCCAGCAGCCGCGGUAAUACAGAGGGUGCAAGCGUUAAUCGGAAUUACUGGGCGUAAAGCGCGCGUAGGUGGUUUGUUAAGUUGGAUGUGAAAUCCCCUGGCUCAACCUGGGAACUGCAUUCAAAACUGACUGACUAGAGUAUGGUAGAGGGUGGUGGAAUUUCCUGUGUAGCGGUGAAAUGCGUAGAUAUAGGAAGGAACACCAGUGGCGAAGGCGACCACCUGGACUAAUACUGACACUGAGGUGCGAAAGCGUGGGGAGCAAACA
rnacentral:rRNA from 1 species